GACGAACGCUGGCGGCGUGCUUAACACAUGCAAGUCGAACGGAAAGGCCCUGCUUUUGUGGGGUGCUCGAGUGGCGAACGGGUGAGUAACACGUGAGUAACCUGCCCUUGACUUUGGGAUAACUUCAGGAAACUGGGGCUAAUACCGGAUAGGAGCUCCUGCUGCAUGGUGGGGGUUGGAAAGUUUCGGCUGUUGGGGAUGGACUCGCGGCUUAUCAGCUUGAUGGUGGGGUAGUGGCUUACCAAGGCUUUGACGGGUAGCCGGCCUGAGAGGGUGACCGGCCACAUUGGGACUGAGGUACGGCCCAGACUCCUACGGGAGGCAGCAGUGGGGAAUAUUGCACAAUGGGCGGAAGCCUGAUGCAGCAACGCCGCGUGCGGGAUGACGGCCUUCGGGUUGUAAACCGCUUUCGCCUGUGACGAAGCGUGAGUGACGGUAAUGGGUAAAGAAGCACCGGCUAACUACGUG
rnacentral:rRNA from 1 species